GGCAGGCAUGGUGGCACAUGCCUGUAAUCCCAGCAACUCGGGAGGCUAAGGCAGGAGGAUUGUUGAGUUCAAAGCCAGCCUCAACAGAUUAUUAAGGCACUUGGCAACUCAGUAAGACCCUGUCUGUA
rnacentral:sRNA from 1 species